AUUGAACGCUGGCGGAAUGCUUUACACAUGCAAGUCGAGCGGCAGCGCGGGGCAACCUGGCGGCGAGCGGCGAACGGGUGAGUAAUACAUCAGAACGUGCCCAGACGUGGGGGAUAACUACUCGAAAGAGUGGCUAAUACCGCAUACGAUCUACGGAUGAAAGCGGGGGAUCGCAAGACCUCGCGCGUCUGGAGCGGCUGAUGGCAGAUUAGGUAGUUGGUGGGAUAAAAGCCUACCAAGCCAACGAUCUGUAGCUGGUCUGAGAGGAUGAUCAGCCACACUGGGACUGAGACACGGCCCAGACUCCUACGGAGGCAGCAGUGGGGAAUUUUGGGACAAUGGGCGAAAGCCUGAUCCAGCCAUUCCGCGUGCAGGAUGAAGGCCCUCGGGUUGUAACUGCUUUGUACAGAACGAAAAAGCUCUGGCUAAUACCUGGAGUCCAUGACGGUACUGUAAGAAUAAGCACCGGCUAACUACGUGCCAG
rnacentral:rRNA from 1 species